rnacentral:rRNA from 1 species
GAUGAACGCUGGCGGCGUGCCUAAUACAUGCAAGUCGAGCGAACAGACGAGGAGCUUGCUCCUCUGACGUUAGCGGCGGACGGGUGAGUAACACGUGGAUAACCUACCUAUAAGACUGGGAUAACUUCGGGAAACCGGAGCUAAUACCGGAUAAUAUAUUGAACCGCAUGGUUCAAUAGUGAAAGACGGUUUUGCUGUCACUUAUAGAUGGAUCCGCGCCGCAUUAGCUAGUUGGUAAGGUAACGGCUUACCAAGGCAACGAUGCGUAGCCGACCUGAGAGGGUGAUCGGCCACACUGGACCUGAGACACGGUCAGACUCCUACGGGAGGCAUCAGUAGGGAAUCUUCCGCAAUGGGCGAAAGCCUGACGGAGCAACGCCGCGUGAGUGAUGAAGGUCUUCGGAUCGUAAAACUCUGUUAUUAGGGAAGAACAAAUGUGUAAGUAACUAUGCACGUCUUGACGGUACCUAAUCAGAAAGCCACGGCUAACUACGUG